rnacentral:rRNA from 1 species
ACUGAACGCUGGCGGCAUGCUUUACACAUGCAAGUCGAACGGUAACAGGGUGCUUGCACCGCUGACGAGUGGCGAACGGGUGAGUAAUGCGUCGGAACGUGCCGAGUAGUGGGGGAUAACGCAGCGAAAGCUGUGCUAAUACCGCAUACGAACUGAGGUUGAAAGUGGGGGACCUUCGGGCCUCACGCUAUUCGAUCGGCCGACGUCUGAUUAGCUAGUUGGUAGGGUAAAGGCCUACCAAGGCGACGAUCAGUAGCGGGUCUGAGAGGAUGAUCCGCCACACUGGGACUGAGACACGGCCCAGACUCCUACGGGAGGCAGCAGUCGAGGAUAGUCUACAAUGGUCGAGAGACUGAUAGUGCGACGCCGCGUGAACGAAGAAGCAUUUCGGUGUGUAAAGUUCUUUUCCAUGGGAGCAGGUCUUUGGUGGUGAAUAAUCAUUGGAGAUUGAUAUUACUAUGGGAAUAAGCCACGGCUAACUCCGUGCCAGCCGCCGCAGUAAUAC